UCAUCCCCGUAUGGCCGUGGCGGGCUGCGCGCGCAUGAGGCGCCGGCGUGCGCGGCUCGCCACGACGUCAUGCAGCUUGCGACGGGGGUGACGACAGUGGUCGGGGUCUCCUGACCUUCCGGAGCGCCGAGGGAGCCGCACCAGGGCUGCUCGUGUAGCGGCCCUUACGUCAUCUCCGUGAUCUAUGGGGAAGCCUGGAGCCAGCAUGUGUUUAGCCCCCACCUAUGGCCACGCCCACUGGCAUAAAAAAGAUAGUCUGCCUAUGAGUCAAGUCUUGAUUCCAGGCAGCUGAGCAUGGACAGCAGUGUUAAGCCCCCAUUCAUGGCCACGCCCACUGGCAUAUAAAAGACAGUCUGCCUGUGAGUCAAGUCUUGAUUCCAGGCAGCUGAGCAUGGACAGCAGUUCAUUCCUUUCAUCUCCUCCAACAUUGGAAGCCUGGGUCUUCCCUGCACUGUCUGCAGCCUAGAUCUGAAUACUCAACAACAAGCUCUACAAGCCCACACUUUACCUACUCCUAUCCAUUUAAUCCCCUAUCAGGGCUAACCCAUUGGGGGCACUCUGCAGGCACCGGCUCCCCUGAUCUUCGGAGGGCGUCCACUGUGCGGCUCCUUGCAACCCCCCUGGGGUCUGUUUCGGUUUCCCUCUCUCCCCCAUGGGGUUGUGGGUGGCGCUCCCUUCGGAUUUUCUAACGGCUCUGCACAUCUCUGGUUAUUACAAAACCCACUUCAUUCGUUAACGAAUCAACCAUCCCCCUGAAGAGACCACUUAGAGGUCGAAACGCGUCGGGGAACGCACAUCACACAGCAUAAAGCAAUGUUGUAUACAUUUGUCCAAUAUUGUGGAAUAUGUAUUGUAUCACCAGAUCCGUAAAGGGUUUUCUUUCAAUUUGUUAUUGCAUUUAAAAUGUAUGUUAUUGACAACCAUAAAAUAAACCAUGCUUUAUUAUAUUA